rnacentral:lncRNA from 1 species
UGCUAGUUGCACCGGAUGUUCUGAUGCAGGCCAAAAAUAAACCAUCGGAACAUCCGAUGGUAUACAUUUUCACUAGCCGUUGGAGCAACGGCUCUUUGAGCCUUUGGGGCUAUUUAUACCCCACCACUCGUCCAUUUAGAGUGGCUGGAGUGUCAAGGGAUGCAUUGAAGACCAAGACUCAUAAAGAAGACAUCCAAACUACCAAAAGUGCUUAAGUGAUACAUCAAAGGCUUAGCACAAGCUUAGGAGAGUGAUUAGUGCUAGGAUAGGCCUUCAGAGGAGUGAGUGCAAGGUGUGCUAACCUUGUGAUCAAGUUCUAGAGUGAACCACCGCUGUCAACAGGUGUGCCGG